UCAGAUUGAACGCGGCGGCAGGCCUAACACAUGCAAGUCGAGCGGUAACAGGAAUUAGCUUGCUAAUUUGCUGACGAGCGGCGGACGGGUGAGUAAUGCCUAGGGAACUGCCCAGUCGAGGGGGAUAACAGUUGGAAACGACUGCUAAUACCGCAUACGCCCUACGGGGGAAAAGAGGGGACCUUCGGGCCUUCUGCGAUUGGAUGUACCUAGGUGGGAUUAGCUAGUUGGUGAGGUAAUGGCUCACCAAGGCGACGAUCCCUAGCUGUUUGAGAGGAUGAUCAGCCACACUGGGACUGAGACACGGCCCAGACUCCUACGGGAGGCAGCAGUGGGGAAUAUUGCACAAUGGGCGCAAGCCUGAUGCAGCCAUGCCGCGUGUGUGAAGAAGCUUCGGGUUGUAAAGCACUUUCAGCGAGGAGGAAAGAAUAGCGUUUAGGUGUGACGUUACUCGCAGAAGAAGGACCGGCUAACUUCGUGCCAGCAGCCGCGGUAAUACGAGGGGUCAACGUUAAUCGGAAUUACUGGGCGUAAAGCGUACGCAGGCGGUUUGUUAAGCGAGAUGUGAAAGCCCCGGGCUCAACCUGGGAACUGCAUUUCGAACUGGCAAACUAGAGUCUGUAGAGGGGGGUAGAAUUUCAGGUGUAGCGGUGAAAUGAAGAUCUGAAGGAAUACCGGUGGCGAAGGCGGCCCCCUGGACAAAGACUGACGCUCAUG
rnacentral:rRNA from 1 species